GUAAACCAUAGCGAGCAAAUCGUGUCGGCGUCGCAAGGCGCCUUCGCGGUUAAUAGGGAUAACCCUGGUAAUUCUGAGGCUAAUACAAGAACGUACAACCCGUCCGACCCGCAAGGGAAGGGCGGGGAAUGUGUGACCAGGCACGCAAAUUCGAAACUGGGAGUGGCCACACGUUCAGACCGCCAUACCAAACGGUCGUUCGCUUCGAAAGUCCUCGUGACGAGUAGCGGUGGACUUCUGGGCGGCUCUCGCUGUGUGCUUCUGACCUAUCAACUAGAUGGCAGCGUAACGGACAUGCUAUGGU
rnacentral:rRNA from 1 species